GCCCCUGAGGAAUACUGCCACUAAGGGAGUUAUUGAAAAGCUGUAGUUGAAUCAUUUCUGUCAAGUAUUGAAAACCCAAAGGAAUAGGACCUUUGAGAUAAUUAAUUGAAAGGUCAAGCUUUGUCAAGUUCCUCAAGCUACUAAGUUCAUUUGGUAUGACACCAGUAAGCUGAUUCUGGAAGAGGUACAGAAGAUGCAGACC
rnacentral:misc_RNA from 1 species